rnacentral:rRNA from 1 species
GACGAACGCUGGCGGCGUGCUUAACACAUGCAAGUCGAACGGAAAGGCCCUGCUUUUGUGGGGUGCUCGAGUGGCGAACGGGUGAGUAACACGUGAGUAACCUGCCCUUGACUUUGGGAUAACUUCAGGAAACUGGGGCUAAUACCGGAUAGGAGCUCCUGCUGCAUGGUGGGGGUUGGAAAGUUUCGGCGGUUGGGGAUGGACUCGCGGCUUAUCAGCUUGUUGGUGGGGUAGUGGCUUACCAAGGCUUUGACGGGUAGCCGGCCUGAGAGGGUGACCGGCCACAUGGGGACUGAGAUACGGCCCAGACUCAUACGGGGGGCAGCAGUGGGAAUAUUGCACAAUGGGCGGAAGCCUGAUGCAGCAACGCCGCGUGCGGGAUGACGGCCUUCGGGUUGUAAACCGCUUUCGCCUGUGACGAAGCGUGAGUGACGGUAAUGGGUAAAGAAGCACCGGCUAACUACGUG